UUAUUAUAUGAUUACUUUGGCAAUGAUAAUAAAAAGAUAAAACAAAAAACAGGAAAAAUAAAUAAAAAUUAACUUCAAUAAAAAUAAAGUCGAAUAUGAUGAGCGCAACUCUUCCCCAUUUUCACCAAUUGGAGCGUC
rnacentral:rRNA from 16 species